GUGCUCGCUUUGGCAGUACAUAUCCUAAAAUUGGAACGAUACAGAGAAAAUGAGCACGGCUCCUGAGCAAGGAUGACACGCAAAUUCGUGAAGCUUUCCGUAUGUUG
ensembl:snRNA U6 U6 spliceosomal RNA